GAUGAAGAACUUAGCGAAAUGCGAUAAGUAGUGUGAAUUGCAGAAUUUAGUGAAUCAUCGAAUCUUUGAACGCACAUUGCGCCCGCCAGUAUUCUGGCGGGCAUGCCUGUUCGAGCGUCAUUUCAACCAUCAAGCCCCCGGCUUGUGUUGGGGACCUGCGGCUGCCGCAGGCCCUGAAAAGCAGUGGCGGGCUCGCUGUCACACCGAGCGUAGUAGCAUACAUCUCGCUCUGGGCGUGCUGCGGGUUCCGGCCGUUAAACCACCUUCAUAACCCAAGGUUGACCUCGGAUCAGGUAGGAAGACCCGCUGAACUUAAGCAUAUCAAUAAGCGGAGGA
rnacentral:misc_RNA from 1 species